GACGAAGGAUGCAAGCGUUAUCCGGAUUCAUUGGGUUUAAAGGGUGCGUAGGCGGACUGAUAAGUCAGUGGUGAAAUCUCUUCGCUUAACGAAGAAACUGCCAUUGAUACUGUUAGUCUAGAGUACAGAUGAUGUGGGCGGAAUAUGACAUGUAGUGGUGAAAUACUUAGAUAUGUCAUAGAACACCGAUUGCGAAGGCAGCUCACAAAACUGUAACUGACGCUGAGGCACGAAAGUGCGGGGAUCAAACAGG
rnacentral:rRNA from 1 species